rnacentral:tRNA from 1 species
UAGGGCUAAGUCAUCCCGGCGGGCUCAUAACCCGCAGUUCAGUAGUUCAAAUCUACU